CCUACGGGCGGCAGCAGUGAGGAAUAUUGGUCAAUGGGCGGGAGCCUGAACCAGCCAAGUCGCGUGAGGGAAGACGGUCCUACGGAUUGUAAACCUCUUUUGCCGGGGAGCAACGGGGUCCUUGCGAGGGCCCGAUGAGAGUACCCGGAGAAAAAGCAUCGGCUAACUCCGUGCCAGCAGCCGCGGUAAUACGGAGGAUGCGAGCGUUAUCCGGAUUUAUUGGGUUUAAAGGGUGCGCAGGCGGAGGUGCAAGUCAGCGGUAAAAUUGCGGGGCUCAACCCCGUACUGCCGUUGAAACUGCAUCCAUUGAGUGAGCGAGAAGUAUGCGGAAUGAGUGGGGUAGCGGUGAAAUGCAUAGAUAUCACGCAGAACUCCGAUUGCGAAGGCAGCAUACCGGCGCGCAACUGACGCUCAUGCACGAAAGCGUGGGUAUCGAACAGGAUUAGAUACCCGUGUAGUC
rnacentral:rRNA from 1 species